rnacentral:rRNA from 1 species
GACGAACGCUGGCGGCGUGCUUAACACAUGCAAGUCGAACGGAAAGGCCCUGCUUUUGUGGGGUUCUCGAUUGGCGAACGGGUGAGUAACACGUGAGUAACCUGCCCUUGACUUUGUUAUAUCUUCAGGAAACUGGGGCUAAUACCGGAUAUGAUCUCCUGCUGCAUGGUGGGGGUUGGAAAGUUUCGGCGUUUGGGGAUGGACUCGCGGCUUAUCAGCUUGUUGGUGUGGUAGUGGCUUACCAAGGCUUUGACGGGUAGCCGGCAUGAGAGGGUGACCGGACACAUUGGGACUGAGAUACGGACCAGAAUGCAACGGGAGGCAGCAGUGGGGAAUAUUGCACAAUGGGCGGAAGCCUGAUGCAGAAACGCAGCGUGCGGGAUGACGGCCUUCGGGUUGUAAAAAGCUGUCGCAUGUGACGAAGAGUGAGUGACGGUAAUGGGUAAAGAAGCACCGGCUAACUACGUG